CCGGCUGCUCCAAGUAAUCGCAGUAGGUGCUGUUGCACACACAAACACUCCCAUGCGGUGUCUCGCGGAGAUCGCAGGGCAGCUGCGUUGAGGCCGUACCUGCAAAUCGAACAGUUGAGGUGAACAGUUUGCAGGGGAAGUCAAACUGCAGCAGAGGUGAUGAGUCUCGAUUGGAGGCGUCCACUCGACUGAGUCCAAGCGGACUACGAAAGCGUUUCUCCAAUCAAGCGUCGCGGGAAACCGAAUUUCGCUCAAGUUGUUUGUGUUUUUGUGAGCCACUUGACCCGGGCCCAGCUGUUGAUCUGAUAAAGCGGCCGGCAAGACGACGACAAGCAACGAUCCAUCCCCACUUGGAAAUCGGCGCACGCAAUCAAAAGUAAAAGUUAUGCAAACUGCCAGAGGGGUCGCGCGAAGCAAAGAAACAGGUGAUCUGGUUAUCGCCCGGUAAUCGAAAGCUAUUGGUUACGAAACGGUGUAUCGUUCGGACAACUCUAGUUGUCUCUUUCGCACUCUCAGUGAAGCCCAAGGUCUAUUAAAAGCAAGGCCGCCAAAGAAAACCGCAUGGAAUCCAAUAAAAGUUCGUUUAUUGCAAAAAUGUGCUCAGCUGUACAGCAAGGUGUGAAUGGACUUGGCGGGAACAUUGACCGUAAACUGGC